UUCUGGACUGACACUGACACUGAGGUGCGAAAGCGUGGGUAGCAAACAGGAUUAGAUACCCUGGUAGUCCACGCCGUAAACGAUGUCGACUAGCCGUUGGGUCCCUUGAGGACUUUGUGGCGCAGUUAACGCGAUAAGUCGACCGCCUGGGGAGUACGGCCGCAAGGUUAAAACUCAAAUGAAUUGACGGGGGCCCGCACAAGCGGUGGAGCAUGUGGUUUAAUUCGAUGCAACGCGAAGAACCUUACCUACCCUUGACAUCGUGCGAACUUGGUAGAGAUACCUUGGUGCCUUCGGGAGCGCACAGACAGGUGCUGCAUGGCUGUCGUCAGCUCGUGUUGUGAAAUGUUGGGUUAAGUCCCGUAACGAGCGCAACCCUUGUCCCUAUUUGCCAGCGAUUCGGUCGGGAACUCUAGGGAGACUGCCGGUGACAAACCGGAGGAAGGUGGGGACGACGUCAAGUCAUCAUGGCCCUUACGGGUAGGGCUACACACGUGCUACAAUGGCCGGUACAAAGGGUUGCGAAGCCGCGAGGUGGAGCCAAUCCCGAAAAGCCGGUCUCAGUCCGGAUCGGAGUCUGCAACUCGACUCCGUGAAGUCGGAAUCGCUAGUAAUCGUGAAUCAGAAUGUCACGGUGAAUACGUUCCCGGGCCUUGUACACACCGCCCGUCACACCAUGGGAGUGGAC
rnacentral:rRNA from 1 species